rnacentral:rRNA from 1 species
UACGGAGGGUGCAAGCGUUAUCCGGAUUCACUGGGUUUAAAGGGUGCGUAGGCGGGUAUGUAAGUCAGUGGUGAAAUCCUCGAGCUUAACUCGAGAACUGCCAUUGAUACUAUGUAUCUUGAAUGUCAUGGAGGUGAGCGGAAUAUGUCAUGUAGCGGUGAAAUGCUUAGAUAUGACAUAGAACACCGAUUGCGAAGGCAGCUCACUACACGAAUAUUGACGCUGAGGCACGAAAGCGUGGGGAGCAAACAGG